GAGCCUGAAUCAGUGUGUGUGUUAGUGGAAGCGUCUGGAAAGGCGUGCGAUACAGGGUGACAGCCCCGUACACAAAAAUGCACAUAUUGUGAGCUCGAUGAGUAGGGCGGGACACGUGGUAUCCUGUCUGAAUAUGGGGGGACCAUCCUCCAAGGCUAAAUACUCCUGACUGACCGAUAGUGAACCAGUACCGUGAGGGAAAGGCGAAAAGAACCCCGGCGAGGGGAGUGAAAAAGAACCUGAAACCGUGUACGUACAAGCAGUGGGAGCACGCUUAGGCGUGUGACUGCGUACCUUUUGUAUAAUGGGUCAGCGACUUAUAUUCUGUAGCAAGGUUAACCGAAUAGGGGAGCCGAAGGGAAACCGAGUCUUAACUGGGCGUUAAGUUGCAGGGUAUAGACCCGAAACCCGGUGAUCUAGCCAUGGGCAGGUUGAAGGUUGGGUAACACUAACUGGAGGACCGAACCGACUAAUGUUGAAAAAUUAGCGGAUGACUUGUGGCUGGGGGUGAAAGGCCAAUCAAACCGGGAGAUAGCUGGUUCUCCCCGAAAGCUAUUUAGGUAGCGCCUCGUGAAUUCAUCUCCGGGGGUAGAGCACUGUUUCGGCAAGGGGGUCAUCCCGACUUACCAACCCGAUGCAAACUGCGAAUACCGGAGAAUGUUAUCACGGGAGACACACGGCGGGUGCUAACGUCCGUCGUGAAGAGGGAAACAACCCAGACCGCCAGCUAAGGUCCCAAAGUCAUGGUUAAGUGGGAAACGAUGUGGGAAGGCCCAGACAGCCAGGAUGUUGGCUUAGAAGCAGCCAUCAUUUAAAGAAAGCGUAAUAGCUCACUGGUCGAGUCGGCCUGCGCGGAAGAUGUAACGGGGCUAAACCAUGCACCGAAGCUGCGGCAGCGACGCUUAUGCGUUGUUGGGUAGGGGAGCGUUCUGUAAGCCUGCGAAGGUGUGCUGUGAGGCAUGCUGGAGGUAUCAGAAGUGCGAAUGCUGACAUAAGUAACGAUAAAGCGGGUGAAAAGCCCGCUCGCCGGAAGACCAAGGGUUCCUGUCCAACGUUAAUCGGGGCAGGGUGAGUCGACCCCUAAGGCGAGGCCGAAAGGCGUAGUCGAUGGGAAACAGGUUAAUAUUCCUGUACUUGGUGUUACUGCGAAGGGGGGACGGAGAAGGCUAUGUUGACCGGGCGACGGUUGUCCCGGUUUAAGCGUGUAGGCUGGUUUUCCAGGCAAAUCCGGAAAAUCAAGGCUGAGGCGUGAUGACGAGGCACUACGGUGCUGAAGCAACAAAUGCCCUGCUUCCAGGAAAAGCCUCUAAGCAUCAGGUAACAUCAAAUCGUACCCCAAACCGACACAGGUGGUCAGGUAGAGAAUACCAAGGCGCUUGAGAGAACUCGGGUGAAGGAACUAGGCAAAAUGGUGCCGUAACUUCGGGAGAAGGCACGCUGAUAUGUAGGUGAAGUCCCUCGCGGAUGGAGCUGAAAUCAGUCGAAGAUACCAGCUGGCUGCAACUGUUUAUUAAAAACACAGCACUGUGCAAACACGAAAGUGGACGUAUACGGUGUGACGCCUGCCCGGUGCCGGAAGGUUAAUUGAUGGGGUUAGCGCAAGCGAAGCUCUUGAUCGAAGCCCCGGUAAACGGCGGCCGUAACUAUAACGGUCCUAAGGUAGCGAAAUUCCUUGUCGGGUAAGUUCCGACCUGCACGAAUGGCGUAAUGAUGGCCAGGCUGUCUCCACCCGAGACUCAGUGAAAUUGAACUCGCUGUGAAGAUGCAGUGUACCCGCGGCAAGACGGAAAGACCCCGUGAACCUUUACUAUAGCUUGACACUGAACAUUGAGCCUUGAUGUGUAGGAUAGGUGGGAGGCUUUGAAGUGUGGACGCCAGUCUGCAUGGAGCCGACCUUGAAAUACCACCCUUUAAUGUUUGAUGUUCUAACGUUGACCCGUGAUCCGGGUUGCGGACAGUGUCUGGUGGGUAGUUUGACUGGGGCGGUCUCCUCCUAAAGAGUAACGGAGGAGCACGAAGGUUGGCUAAUCCUGGUCGGACAUCAGGAGGUUAGUGCAAUGGCAUAAGCCAGCUUGACUGCGAGCGUGACGGCGCGAGCAGGUGCGAAAGCAGGUCAUAGUGAUCCGGUGGUUCUGAAUGGAAGGGCCAUCGCUCAACGGAUAAAAGGUACUCCGGGGAUAACAGGCUGAUACCGCCCAAGAGUUCAUAUCGACGGCGGUGUUUGGCACCUCGAUGUCGGCUCAUCACAUCCUGGGGCUGAAGUAGGUCCCAAGGGUAUGGCUGUUCGCCAUUUAAAGUGGUACGCGAGCUGGGUUUAGAACGUCGUGAGACAGUUCGGUCCCUAUCUGCCGUGGGCGCUGGAGAACUGAGGGGGGCUGCUCCUAGUACGAGAGGACCGGAGUGGACGCAUCACUGGUGUUCGGGUUGUCAUGCCAAUGGCACUGCCCGGUAGCUAAAUGCGGAAGAGAUAAGUGCUGAAAGCAUCUAAGCACGAAACUUGCC
rnacentral:rRNA from 1 species